ACAGGUCUGCUCUGGGCUACCUACCAAGCUUAACAAGCUUCUCUUUGGUCUCUCCAGAAUAAAAGAGAAGGAAAAUAAGAAAGGGUGCAGCUUCUCAUGGCACACCAGCCAAUCCAGCAGCCUGCUGAGCCAACAGAAAACUAAUCCACAAUGAAAAGGCAAAGUGCUGUCGUCAUAGCCAGACCUGCCAGCAGUACCUUUGGAGCCCUUUGGAGCUGCAGAAACAGACUACAAGACAAAAACCACACAAACACCAAAUUGCUACUCAUGGAAACUGAACAAUAAAAAUAAAUGAACCAA